AGCCUAAAUUGUAAUUGAGCGCCUAGACAUUCACCAAUCAUUGAAAUAAAUUAGUAAUUCUUUUUAUUUUAACAAAAGUUUGGGCGACAGAGUUGUGAAAUUCUUAAAAAAAUGAAGAAAAACCACAUAAAUUUUUUCUCCAAAACAUAUUCAGCCCUAAUCAAUAUUGAGCUGCAAACUUAAAUCAUCGACAUUGAGCUGCAACCCUAAUCGAUAUCAAUUCAUCGACAAUAACAUUCAUCCCUAAUCUUUAAUUUCAGUAAUUGAUGUGUGUUAAUUACGCUGAAGUUCUCUAACACAUGCUGGUCGUAAACCAUCCAGCCCUUAUCAAUCUGUUCAUCAAUGUAUUAUUUAUCAAAAUUCUUUAAUUUCAGCUAAAUUAGUGUGUUUAGCUCUGCCCUAAUCUUGAAUUUGCACCUGCUAGAAUCGAUUUCAGGUAUUCCUUGUCUUCCAAUCAAUUGUUUGGUUGUUUGAUUUCCUAUUCCUAUUCAGAAGCAGGUGUUGGAGAGAAAUAAAGUUGAUGCUGCUCGAUUUGCAUAUUUUUGGAAUGAAAUCGUCAAGAAUUUGAGGGAAGAAGAUUACAUUGCUAAUUUGAAGAUGGAACAACUUUUGAUGCCUAAGAAUUCUGGGAGUCUGUCGUUAGUUUAGUGGACUCUUUUCCUACUAGCUAUCAAGAUAUUUCUUGCAAAAGAUAUAACUGUAGUCUGUAGAGAUUAAAGACUCACAAGAUGAGUUAUUGGAUAGGAUAUCAAGGGAUGAUUACAUGAAAUAUGUGGUUGAAGAGGGCUAUUACAUCAUCAAGGUUGGAAAAAUAUAUGAGGAUAUUCGUGGGAGCAUAACUAAAAGGCGUAUUAAUGUGGAAGUUGAUAUGAAUAAGCUGCCACUGGUGAUUCAGAAAGUAACUGCACUCAUGGUAAUAUUGUCAGGACAUGUUCAACAAAUGGCAAGCUCAAAUAUUGUGGGGAGAGAAUUACGAACGAAUUAUGGAGCUCUACAAUGUUCAGAUAUUCAACAAGCAAACUCUUAUCACACCUGAAUGAUCUGAAGAUGGAACCCAUUGUAAGGGAUUUCCUUUAAGUUAUCGAAGAGUAUUUGGAGCGUGGGAUCAUGAAAUGCAUAGUCUUUAAUCAUCGUGGCACCCUUCUUACAGGUACUAUGAAUUAAACCUUACUUGAACACCCGCCCCUCCCCCAAUUUAAUUAUUGUUUUGACAUAACUAACAUGAAGUAUAAAGUCUUAGAACAACAACAACAAUAUACCCAGUAUAUUCUCACAAAGUGGAGUCUGAGGAGGGUAAGUGUAUGCAGUCCAUACCACUACCUCAAAGGUGAGAGAGAGAGGUUGUUUCCAUUAGAUCCCCGACUCAAGACAAAAUUUUGUUAAAAAAUAGUUCUUUUCACAGUAUUGUUAAUUGUGUUUGCUUGGUGAGGGUUAGAAAUAGUCCAAGACAGAGGGUACAAACCGAUAGCUGAAAAUACUUUUAAGAGAAUAAUUUUAUACAAGUGUAAUGUUGCUCUUUUGGGGGUAUAACGGAAGGUCAAUUAGAUUCUUUCUUUAAUCAAAGGCUUUGGUUUAACAGAUGAUUCUUUCACUGGAUCCUAAUCAAUAUUGUUUCCUAUUAUUCUAUUCAUUCAUAUAGCUCUGUUGCGUGCAUUAUGGAUUUUUCAAUUUCUUGAACCAUCAAGCCAAAUGAGAUACUUAUCUCCGCUGCUGAUAAGGGGCUUACAGUCUUCAGGAUCCAUCAGUGUUGUAUAACAACAAUCAGGGCAAAGUUGUCGACCAUCACUCAGAGCGAUAUACUUGAUGUCUCCUAUCUGCAAACAGGCUGUGUGAUCUUAUUGGUUUCAAUGUUGCAAAGUCUACAUGCAGGAGUAAGUUUUUUACCAGGAAUGUAUUAAUGAACUUGAAAACUCAGGGCUAAGCACUAGAUCAAGAAUUGAAGAAUAAUUAACGAGGUCAUAUCCAAGUGAAGACUAAUUCUUACCUAAGUAUUACCAUAGAAAUGAUUUGUCCUUGGUUACCAGAGUGAUGGAGCUUACAUCAGAAAAUAUAUCUAUGGAACUGUGUCAAGUGUGAUUAUGAAGCUUCCUAAUUCAAAUUAUGUGGCUGCAGGUUCAAAAUAUGAUCUAGAUAGCCAGCUGAAAACUAUGUCCUUAAAUUUUCUGGUAUAGAUUAUGUCGCAACAUAAAGAGAAGGUAAUGAAAGAAAGCAAGCGGAACAACUCUCAUCAUGUUUUGAUGAUGUAAGAUAUGUUGAAUCAGACACAAUUGACCCAUCAAUUAAGAUGGGAAAUAUGCUACCAGGGUCAGAAGGAUAAGCUGAAAUAUCUUAGGUUGUAGACAAUCAUAAUUACAAAGAGGGUGAAAAUUUUGAAAAUUCUAAUCUUACAGCAAAAAUUAUGGAGACUAGAAGUCCUUUUAUGGAAACAAAAGACAAUGAACCUGUGGACUUGGGGCCAUCAACAAUGAGCAGCAAAGGAAUCAUGUUGGAAGAGCAGAGUGUAGAAAGUUAUGUGAACUAUUAUAGCAAGGAAUGUUGAUUUGAAUUGCGUAAACAGUGCCAUAACGUUUAUGUCAUGGCUACUCAGCAAUUUGAGAUGUAAAUACAUUAUUAGUUUUAAUAUAUAUGGAGAAGUUAUCUUCAUAUUUGUUA